UGGGGAAUAUUGGGCAAUGGGCGAAAGCCUGACCCAGCGACGCCGCGUGGGUGAUGAAGGCCUUCGGGUUGUAAAACCCUUUCGUGCGGAAAGAAUAGUCCUGUAGCGAAUAACUACGGGAUUUGACGGUACCGCAGGAAGAAGCACCGGCUAACUCCGUGCCAGCAGCCGCGGUAAUACGGAGGGUGCAAGCGUUGUUCGGAAUUAUUGGGCGUAAAGGGCGCGUAGGUGGUUGUGAUAGUCAGAUGUGAAAUCCUUCGGCUCAACCGAAGAACUGCAUCUGAAACUUCAUAUAUCGAGUACAGGAGAGGGAAACGGAAUUCCCGGUGUAGAGGUGAGAUUCGUAGAUAUCGGGAGGAGCACCAGUGGCGA
rnacentral:rRNA from 1 species